rnacentral:rRNA from 1 species
AUUGAACGCUGGCGGCAUGCCUUACACAUGCAAGUCGAACGGUAACAGGUCUUCGGAUGCUGACGAGUGGCGAACGGGUGAGUAAUGCAUCGGAACGUGCCCAGUAGUGGGGGAUAGCCCGGCGAAAGCCGGAUUAAUACCGCAUACGAACUGAGGGUGAAAGGGGGGGAUCGCAAGACCUCUCGCUAUUGGAGCGGCCGAUGUCAGAUUAGCUAGUUGGUGGGGUAAAGGCCUACCAAGGCAACGAUCUGUAGUUGGUCUGAGAGGACGACCAGCCACACUGGGACUGAGACACGGCCCAGACUCCUACGGGAGGCAGCAGUGGGGAAUUUUGGACAAUGGGCGCAAGUCUGAUCCAGCAAUGCCGCGUGCAGGAAGAAGGCCUUCGGGUUGUAAACUGCUUUUGUCAGGGAAGAAAUCUUCUGGGUUAGUACCUCGGGAGGAUGACGGUACCUGAAGAAUAAGCACCGGCUAACUACGUGCCAGCCGCCGCAGUAAUAC